GUGAUAUUAGCUCACUGAAAACUCCACCUUCUAGGCUCAAGAGAUUCUCCUGCUUCAGCAUCCAAGUAGCUGGGAUUACAUGUGUGCACCGCCACAGCCAGCUAAUUUUUUGUAUUUUUAGUAGAGACAGGGUUUCACCAUGUUGGCUAAGCUGGUCGCAAUCUCCCGGCCUAAGUAUUCCUAACGACUGUACUACUCAAAUGCUGGGAUUACAGGCAUGAGCCACCGGGCCUGGCCAGUAUUAUUAUUACUAAUACAGUAAUUAUUGUAUAAAAAUUCCUGAUAGAUCAAUGAUGCCAUCAUUAAAUAAUCAACACA
rnacentral:lncRNA from 10 species